AGAUUAAUGAAAUCAAGAUGUGAAAAUCAAAAAUUAUUCUCAAUAAAGAAAUUACCAUUGUCAUGGUAUCAGAGUCCUGAAGCUCCAACGAGCAUCCCUUCUUCCUCCUCCUUCAGUGCUCUCUCAUAGCCACCAGUUCAUCUAUCUCCACCUCCUCCAAUCCCUCUUCUCCUUCUCCACCAAUCACAAUGACCCCUCUCACCUUUCCAUCUGCAC
rnacentral:lncRNA from 1 species